rnacentral:rRNA from 1 species
ACUGCCAUUGAUACUGGAGACCUUGAGUACAAAUGAAGUAGGCGGAAUGAGUCAUGUAGCGGUGAAAUGCAUAGAUAUGACUCAGAACACCGAUUGCGAAGGCAGCUUACUAACAUGUAACUGACGCUGAGGGACGAAAGCGUGGGGAGCGAACAGGAUUAGAUACCCUGGUAGUCCACGCCGUAAACGAUCAUCACUCGCUGUUGGCGAUAUACUGUCAGCGGCCAAGCGAAAGUAUUAAGUGAUGCACCUGGGGAGUACGCCGGCAACGGUGAAACUCAAAGGAAUUGACGGGGGCCCGCACAAGCGGUGGAGCAUGUGGUUUUAUUCGAUGAUACGCGAGGAACCUUACCAGGGCUUAAAUGUAGUAUGACCGGUCUGGAAACAGACCUUCUCUUCGGAGCAGAUUACAAGGUGCUGCAUGGUUGUCGUCAGCUCGUGCCGUGAGGUGUUAGGUUAAGUCCUGCAACGAGCGCAACCCCUAUUCUUAGUUGCCAGCGGUUCGGCCGGGGACUCUAAGAAGACUGCCAGCGCAAGCUGAGAGGAAGGUGGGGAUGACGUCAAAUCAUCACGGCCCUUACGUCCUGGGCUACACACGUGCUACAAUGGUAGAGACAGAGGGCAGCCACCUGGUGACAGGGAGCGAAUCCUAAAACUCUAUCUCAGUUCGGAUCGAAGUCUGCAACUCGACUUCGUGAAGCUGGAAUCGCUAGUAAUCGCGCAUCAGCCAUGGCGCGGUGAAUACGUUCCCGGGCCUUGUACACACCGCCCCGUCAAGCCAUGGAAGCUGGGGGUACCUGAAGUCC